rnacentral:rRNA from 1 species
AUUAAACGCUGGCGGCAUGCCUUACACAUGCAAGUCGAACGGCAGCACGGGGGCAACCCUGGUGGCGAGUGGCGAACGGGUGAGUAAAGCAUCGGAACGUGCCCUGGAGUGGGGGAUAACGUAGCGAAAGUUACGCUAAUACCGCAUAUUCUGUGAGCAGGAAAGCAGGGGAUCGCAAGACCUUGCGCUCUGGGAGCGGCCGAUGUCGGAUUAGCUAGUUGGUGGGGUAAAGGCCUACCAAGGCGACGAUCCGUAGCGGGUCUGAGAGGAUGAUCCGCCACACUGGGACUGAGACACGGCCCAGACUCCUACGGGAGGCAGCAGUGGGGAAUUUUGGACAAUGGGCGAAAUCCUGAUCCAGCCAUGCCGCGUGAGUGAAGAAGGCCU